AUUUACCACAAAGAUUUCUGAAUAACCUGGUGUGGUCUGAAAUGGUGCUCAUAGAUACGAACGUAUGUGUCAAGCACUACGGUGGAUUGAUCAGUGCAUCAAACUUUUGUGCAAAAUAUCAAAUAGAUCGAAGAUUGAGCGACAACGGCGGGCCUGCUGUUUACAGGGAUGUAUUGAUUGGGAUGUUGUCAUUUGGAGGCACUAAGAUAGAAGAACCACACAUUGCUGUGUUCACAAACGCUUCUUAUUUCAACAGAUGGAUUAUGCUGAAUAGCCGACGUUUGGUGGAAAAAUACUUCGUUUACCGAGAUUCCGGAGGUUCGAAGAUAAACCACUGAAACGGUAAUGAAAAGAAAUACACAAAAUCUCUAUGGUUU